rnacentral:rRNA from 1 species
AUUGAACGCUGGCGGCGUGCCUAACACAUGCAAGUCGAGCGGCAGCGCGGGAGCAAUCCUGGCGGCGAGCGGCGGACGGGUGAGUAACGCUUGGGAAUCUGCCUGUUAGUGGGGGACAACCCGGGGAAACUCGGGCUAAUACCGCAUACGCACUACGGUGGAAAGCCGGGGACCGCAAGGCCUGGCGCUAACAGAUGAGCCCAAGUCGGAUUAGCUAGUUGGUAGGUAACGGCCUACCAAGGCGACGAUCCGUAACUGGUCUGAGAGGACGACCAGUCACACCGGAACUGAGACACGGUCCGGACUCCUACGGGAGGCAGCAGUGGGGAAUAUUGGACAAUGGGGAAACCCUGAUCCAGCGACGCCGCGUGGGUGAAGAAGGCCUGCGGGUUGUAAAGCCCUUUCAGUGGGAAGAAAAG